rnacentral:rRNA from 1 species
UACGUAGGGUGCGAGCGUUGUCCGGAAUUAUUGGGCGUAAAGCGUGCGCAGGCGGUCCUUUAAGUCUGAUGUGAAAGCCCACGGCUCAACCGUGGAGGGUCAUUGGAAACUGGGGGACUUGAGUACAGAAGAGAAGAGUGGAAUUCCACGUGUAGCGGUGAAAUGCGUAGAGAUGUGGAGGAACACCAGUGGCGAAGGCGACUCUUUGGUCUGUAACUGACGCUGAGGCGCGAAAGCGUGGGGAGCAAACAGG